UCCCUUCAAUAUAAUUUCUCCAAUUCACAACAUACAAACUCAAAAUGCAAUGAAUUUCUCAGAGCAUUAUAUUGUGAUCAGAAGAAUGAACAACAAGGUGCAAGGGGAAUUACAUGUUAGUUGAUGCAAGUGACAAAUGUGAUUGGGAAAUUGUUUGCUUGAAUAGGUUGUUCCCGACGAAGUUGCUCGAGAUGAUGGUAGCGUUUGAAAUGGAAGAAUAAUUACAUACAAAUUUCAUUUCAUUUAGAUGAAGAAGAUACAGAAGUAAAGCUGUUAAAAGUGGGAAAAAAGAAGAAACAAUGGUUGGUUAGAAAGAUUUCUACGUUCCAGACAAAAGAGAUGGAUUUGGGAAAGGGAAGGGAAAAUUUUCUUUGUUGAAUGAAUGAGGGUAAUUCAGGUAGUUUGUUAAUAUUAAUUUAAAAUAUUUAUUUUAAAACCUUUAUUCUGGUCAAAGGAUAUAUUUGCAAAUUAUAUCAAGAGAUAGACUAUUUGACCCAAUUU
rnacentral:lncRNA from 1 species